CAGGGAGGUCGGCAACGACCACCCAGGGCCGGAAAGUUGGUCAAACCCGGUCAUUUAGAGGAAGUAAAAGUCGUAACAAGGUCUCCGUAGGUGAACCUGCGGAGGGAUCAUU
rnacentral:rRNA from 1 species